rnacentral:rRNA from 1 species
UACGUAGGCAGCGAGCGUUGUUCGGAGUUACUGGGCGUAAAGGGUGUGUAGGCGGUUUUCUAAGUUUGGUGUGAAAUCUCCCGGCUCAACCGGGAGGGUGCGCCGAAAACUGGGAGACUAGAGUGCGGGAUGGGAGAGUAGAAUUCCUGGUGUAGCGGUGAAAUGCGUAGAUAUCAGGAGGAAUACCGGUGGUGAAGGCGGCUCUCUGGACCGCCACUGACGCUGAGACACGAAAGCGUGGGUAGCAAACAGG